UUCCAUUCAUAAGAUAACUCAUAAUUAGGUCCAUCCAGGAACUCCGAUGGUCAAUGGUUGCCACUUUCUUUUCUUCACAUUUAAUUAUGCUUGGCUCGGGAAUGAUGACUACUGGAACUGAUCUCAGUAAGUCUUUUUCUGGUGAGAAAGCUAGUUGAGCUAAUGCAUCAGCUCGUGUGUUUUGUUCCCGAGGAAUUUGC
rnacentral:lncRNA from 1 species